CAGCAGAGAGAGAAAGGAAGAGAGAGAGAGAGAGGGCGGAGGGAAAGGAAUUCUUUUGCCAACAUGUAUAUUUUUUUGGUUUUGUUGAAAUAGAGUAAAAUUUGGGGUUCGCAGAGUGGAGAAAUCGAGAAGGGGGGAGAGAGGGAUGAAUUUCGUCUCCGUCGCUAAAAGUGCGUCUUCCUUGCGGAAUUGAACGAUGAGGCAGCGGGGGAAAGGGAGCGGGCUCGGUUCUCGCUCUCCUCUGGGCUCUUGCUUUCCGCUUUUGGUGUGAAACUUUUGGUGAAUCCGAGUGGCUUUUCGGGAGCUCCGAAAGGGAUGACGAGGAACGGGCGUUUGGUGCGAAGAUUCGCGGUGUAGUUCGUGUUUUUGAGCGAGUUCUCGUUUGGAUCUUCGCUGACGGGGGGGUUGCUUGCUUCCGGGGGAAGCUUCGGUCUCUAGAGUUUAGGGCUUCACUUUCUCCCUCCGUCCUUGUCGUUGCUGUUGUUCGUCCCUUUGAAUUCUGAGAACGACGGGUGCGGGACGGCGGAUUGCGAGGAGAUUGAGCGGGAAUCGGUCCGCGGUGCUUCUUUUCCUGGUUCAUCUUCGUGUUUGACGCCGAUAUUUGGCUAGGGCUUUGAAUUCCAAGUUCCGGCGGUGGAAGUCGUUGGCUGUUGAGAACGGUUUUGGUUUUGUUGUGGGCUCAUCCUCUGGCGUGAUUGUUCGGGCUUAGGCGUAGGGAUAACGGGAGAUCGUGGCUCGAAUUCGGGGCUUCGAAUAGUAUGGAGAUUCUACUUUCUUGGUCUCGGUGGCGGAAAUGGUGAAUUGAGGAGAUCCUGUUGAUCGGUUCGUGGCAAGGUAUUCGGGAAGAGGGGCUGGUUCUCUGUGGACUCCUGGAAUGCAGGAUAUUUUAGUAACUUCUGCCAUUUGAAACAGUGCAACUGGGAAAAGCAGAGUCGGUGGCCUGCCGGAGUGGAGUUCCUGUAGUUCAUGAGUUUUUUAUGCGAAAAUGAGGCUGUCGACCUCUGGCAUGAGUCAUCCGUCACCUGAAGGUGAAAAGAAAUGUUUGAAUUCAGAGCUUUGGCAUGCAUGUGCUGGACCCCUAGUCUGCUUGCCUGCAAUUGGGAGUCGGGUUGUCUACUUUCCUCAGGGUCAUAGCGAGCAGAUUGCUGCAUCAACCAACAAGGAAGUGACCGAUCAUGUCCCCAAUUAUCCAAGUCUGCCUCCUCAACUUAUUUGUCAGCUUCAUGAUGUCACCAUGCACGCAGACGUAGAGACAGAUGAAGUCUAUGCACAAAUGACCUUGCAACCUCUAAGUCCGCAAGAGCAGAAAGAUACAUAUCUGCCUGCUGAGCUCGGAGUUCCUAGCAAACAGCCAACAAAUUAUUUUUGCAAGACAUUGACAGCCAGUGACACUAGUACACAUGGAGGAUUUUCAGUUCCUCGCAGGGCUGCUGAAAAGGUCUUCCCUCCAUUGGAUUUUUCUCAGCAGCCACCAGCUCAGGAGCUUAUUGCAAGGGAUCUCCAUGAUGUUGAAUGGAAGUUCAGGCACAUUUUUCGAGGACAGCCAAAGCGGCAUCUUCUUACAACAGGUUGGAGUGUGUUUGUGAGUGCUAAAAGACUAGUUGCUGGCGAUUCUGUUAUUUUUAUCUGGAAUGAGAAGAAUCAGCUUCUCUUGGGGAUCCGAAGAGCUGCACGACCACAGACUGUAAUGCCUUCUUCUGUUUUAUCAAGUGAUAGCAUGCACAUUGGUCUUCUGGCUGCUGCUGCUCAUGCAGCCGCAACAAACAGCCGUUUUACUGUUUUUUACAACCCCAGGUUGACAAAGGCGAGCCCCUCUGAGUUUGUGAUACCACUGGCGAAGUAUAUUAAAGCAGCCUUUCACACGCGUGUGACGGUGGGGAUGCGAUUCCGGAUGCUUUUUGAAACAGAGGAAUCAAGUGUCCGGAGGUACAUGGGUACAAUCACUGGUAUAUGUGAUCUAGAUCCAGUUCGUUGGCCAAAUUCACAUUGGCGAUCUGUCAAGGUUGGUUGGGAUGAGUCUACUGCAGGUGUGAGGCAGCCUAGGGUUUCACUAUGGGAAAUUGAGCCCUUGACAACAUUCCCCAUGUACCCAUCAUUGUUUCCUCUCAGGUUGAAGCGGCCUUGGCUUCCUGAUAUGCCAUCUCUUAAUGGUACAUAUCACAGGGAUGAUGAUGGAAAUGGUCUUAUGUGGUCAAGAGGGGAUGCUGUUGGACAAGGUUUUCAGUCUUUGAAUUUUAGAAGUCUGGGCUUUAACCCUUGGAUGCAACAAAGGCUUGAUCUGUCGCCGCUGGUGACUGAGCAAGAUCAGUUUCAAUCCAUAGCUAGUGCGUCAUGGCCAGAACUAAGAAGUGAAGAGCCCAUCAAGCAAUCGAUGUUACAGUUUCAGAAUCCCAUACAAUCUCAGCCACAGUUUCCAAGCAGGCUUAACCUUCUGGCGCCAAGACAAAUCAUUCAACCGGCACAACCUCUUGAAGGUCACCUCAAUCUUCCAGCACAAACGAUGUUGGAUGAGCAAACUCGUAAUCACCUGCUGCAUCAACAGUUGCUUCAGCCGUUCAAUGAACAGCAGCAACCACAGUUGCAAAAUCAUAGUGAGCCAUUUCAGGUUGCGACUACUCGACAACCGCAAUUGUCCUCACCUUCCUUGGGUCAAAGGCAACUGCUUGCAGAUUCAGGGAAUGCCUUCUCAUCUUCAUUAAUUCCUGCUUGCGUCCAAAGUUUGUUGAGCCCUUUGUCUGCUGAUGAAAAUGUUCGCCUUCUGAACAAUAUCAGAGCCAAUCAAACCGACAUUGUUGAGCCUCAGCAGCAAUCAUGGGUGCCCAAAAAUUCAUUGCCUCAAGUUGAACCCUUUAGGCACUCCGUCACACUCCCACCAUUUCCUGGCAGAGAAAAUGAGGUGGAGCCAGAAAACUGUACUGCCGACUCCCAGAACCAGAAUGUCUUGUUUGGUGUCAAUAUUGACACACAAUCCCUACUCCUUUCCAAUGCUGUCUCCAAUCUGGCAGCAGUUGGAGGCCAAACUGAUAUGGCAGCGAUGCAGUUUACUACCUCAGGUUUCCAAAAUCCUCUGUCCAGUGGCUAUGAUUGCCUGGGAGACUCAGCAGGUUUGCUCCAGACUCCGGGGCAACUUGACCCACCUAACCAAACAUUUGUGAAGGUGUAUAAAUCUGGCUGCGUGGGGCGGUCAUUGGACAUUGCUCGGUUCAGCAGCUACCACGAGCUACGCAAUGAACUGAGUCAAAUGUUUGGACUAGAGGGCCUGCUGGAAGACCCUCAAAGAUCAGGCUGGCAGCUUGUAUUUGUUGACCGUGAGAACGAUGUGCUUCUCAUGGGAGACGACCCUUGGGAGGCAUUCGUUAACAAUGUGUGGUACAUCAAGAUCCUGUCUCCGCAGGACGUGCAGAAAAUGGGUGCUCAAAAGCAUAGUGGUGAAAGCUACAAGGAGUAUAGUAACACUAGCAGGCCUCUUGGGAUUUGAUCUGCAGGAUCAGCGAACGGCCGGGUACCCACCUUUGUGAAAGAACGGUCUAUAUACACACACAUGAACAAGAGUACUAAUGCCUCUCCUUUUCUGGAAGCGUACACAGUUCUGUAGUAUUUAUUAGUUAAAAGGCUAAACCUCUGACUUAACCUUCGUGGUUAUCCUUGUGCAGCACAUAAUAUACUGUAUUUGUAUUGCCUGUAACUCCUGAUUAGCGUAGUAGUUGACAAUAGUUUUAGCUUUUCAUCGCGUGUUAGACUAAUGAGAUGCUCUUGUCUGUGCAUGACAUGACUUCUUCCAUGAUGUCUGUCCAGGUCUGUUGUGGUUCGAUCAAUGGGGCAUUUCAUGCGAAGUCAUCACAAUUUUUAGUAACGCGAAUCUACAAGGGCUGUGCCUUUUUUCUUA